AACGAGCGCCCCCUUUUUUUAUUUUCCCACCACUUAGGGGGGGAAACUCGGGGGAUACUGCGGGGGUCAACUCAGAGAAGGGGGGGGAUGACCUCAAAUCAUCGCCCCCUUUAUGUUUGGGUUUUCACCCGUGCUACAGGGCCGGGUACAAGGGGUUGCAAUACCGGGGGGGGGAGCAACCCCCAAAAACCGGCCCCCUUUUCAAAUUGGGGUCUGCACCUCCCCCUCAUAAAUUCAGAUUCUCUAAAAAUCAAAAAUCAACACCUCUGCGGAAAAUACUUCC
rnacentral:rRNA from 1 species